CGCGUAGGCGGUUUGUUUAGUUAGGCGUGAAAUUCCUGGGCUUAACCUGGGGGCUGCGCUUAAUACAGGCAGACUUAAGUUCGGAAGAGGGUCGUGGAAUUCCCAGUGUAGAGGUGAAAUUCGUAGAUAUUGGGAAGAACACCGGUGGCGAAGGCGGCGACCUGGUCCGAUACUGACGCUGAGGCGCGAAAGCGUGGGGAGCAAACA
rnacentral:rRNA from 1 species